UCAGGAUGAACGCAGGCGGCGUGCCUAACACAUGCAAGUCGAAUGGAGAUUUAACGCUGAAGAAGCUUCGGUUGAUUCUUGUUAAAUGUUAGUGGCGGACGGGUGAGUAACGCGUGGGCAACCUGCCUCAUACUGGGGGAUAACAGUUGGAAACGACUGUUAAUACCGCAUAAGCGCACAGCAUCGCAUGAUACAGUGUGAAAAACUCCGGUGGUAUGAGAUGGGCCCGCGUCAGAUUAGCCAGUUGGCAGGGUAACGGCCCACCAAGGCGACGAUCUGUAGCCGGCCUGAGAGGUCGGACGGCCACAUUGGGACUGAGACACGGCCCAAACUCCUACGGGAGGCAGCAGUGGGGGAUAUUGCACAAUGGAGGAAACUCUGAUGCAGCGACGCCGCGUGAGUGAAGAAGUAUUUCGGUAUGUAAAGCUCUAUCAGCAGGGAAGAAAGGCUCGUUAGAGAGAUGACGGUACCUGACUAAGAAGCCCCGGCUAAUUACGUGCCAGCAGCCGCGGUAAUACGUAGGGGGCAAGCGUUAUCCGGAUUUACUGGGUGUAAAGGGAGCGCAGACGGUCAAGCAAGUCUGAAGUGAAACCCCACGGCUCAACCGUGGGCUUGCUUUGGAAACUGUUUAUCUAGAGUACUGGAGAGGUAAGCGGAAUUCCUAGUGUAGCGGUGAAAUGCGUAGAUAUUAGGAGGAACAUCGGUGGCGAAG
rnacentral:rRNA from 1 species